rnacentral:rRNA from 1 species
CCUACGGGUGGCAGCAGUGAGGAAUAUUGGUCAAUGGGCGCGACCCUGAACCAGCCACGUAGCGUGAAGGAUGACUGCCCUACGGGUUGUAAACUUCUUUUAUAAAGGAAUAAAGUGAGGCACGUAUGCCUUAUUGUAUGUACUUUAUGAAUAAGGAUCGGCUAACUCCGUGCCAGCAGCCGCGGUAAUACGGAGGAUCCGAGCGUUAUCCGGAUUUAUUGGGUUUAAAGGGAGCGUAGAUGGGUUGUUAAGUCAGUUGUGAAAGUUUGCGGCUCAACCGUAAAAUUGCAAUUGAUACUGGCAGUCUUGAGUACAGUUGAGGUAGGCGGAAUUCGUGGUGUAGCGGUGAAAUGCUUAGAUAUCACGAAGAAUUCUGAUUGCGAAGGCAGCCUACUAGACUGCCACUGACAUUGAUGCUCGAAAGUGUGGGUAUCAAACAGGAUUAGAUACCCCUGUAGUC